rnacentral:lncRNA from 1 species
UACAGGACAUGAGGAACCACAAACUGCAAAGCCAUAAUGAGGGCAAGAUAAGCUGACGGCAUAUUCUACAAUCUCGCAGGAAAAUUUCAAGUGAAAUUUACUUGGACACCAUUGGAAUAAACCAGAAAGGAAGAGGCAUGAAGAGCGAGAAUGGACAUGAGGAGGAACCACAAACUGCAAAACAAUAAUCAGGGCAAGAUAAGCUAACUGCAUAUUUUCCAAUCCUAACAGAAAUGUCAAGUGAUAUCUACUUAGAUCUCAUUGGACAGAAACAAAAAGGAAGAGGUCUGGGGAGAGAGUAGAUGAUAAUUGUCACAAGGUGGAAGAAGUAUGAACUAUGAAGAACUUGUGACUGAAAGUGCUCAAAUUACAAAUCAUUCUAUGUAGAAGGCAAAGAGAAGUUAACAGCAUCAAGUGCAAACUUAAAUAGAGCAAUUUUACUAGAAUGUAGGUUGUAGCUUGAAGUAGUAUGGUAUUUAAGUUUGUAAAUCUGACGAGGGAUAUGGUUUACUAGAAUGUAGGUUGUAAUUUAAACUGCAUAUAGCCAGACAAUGGAGGAUGAACCUAUCAUGGGACACCUAAUCUGACAUGUUACACAUGCAUAUCUAUAUAAAAAAUGAUAUUAGGAAUUCUGUCAGUAUGACAACCUAAAGGUCCUAAAAUUAUAUAUAUGGAAAGAUAAUGUCCAAUUUUCAAUUGUAAUCAGGAACAACAAGCAGUUGCAAUAAAGUAGCUCAAGUCUGUCCAUACAUAACAUCCCCUAAAUCUUGCUCAAAAGGUGUCCAGUGCAUUCUCAGAAUAUCAGUUUAUAACUAGAACUGUCAAAAAUACUAGAGCAAGUCGAACAAGUAAAUCAGCAUCCAGAAUUCAUAAAGCAAAAUUUUGUAGAAUUGUUGCAAAAUCAAAGUUCACAAUAAGUGUGUAUUGGAUCUUACUGAGCUUUUAGAUACGUCUCUCUUUCCUCUGCAUCUGCAAUUUCUGACCGAAGAGACUCUACUUCUACUCUAGUAAGUUCAAUCUGAUACCCAAAAAAAUAUUUUCUCAGUUAUAUAUAAAUGCUAUAUUUCUUAUUGGGUCAAUGGAAGUUAUAUCUUAAUAUAAAAAUGAUUUAUUAACUUUAUCAUUGUGAUCUCUUGAUCCCCAUGGAAGACGUGAAAGCGUAAACAAGUUCAGCAGAGAUGCAGCUCCCAUUACUCUUCUUACAGCCCACGAAUGGCCAAGUGAUCUGUACCAGAGACGUAUGAAGAAUUUAUGAUAUCAUUUAAAGCCAAUAUUUGAGAAGCUAAAUCCAUGUCAUAUUACAGAUGUAAUACUAAUAUCUCACCUCAGCUUAUAAUCUGCCCUUGAAUUUGUUGUUUGGGGAGAGUGUUCAGAUGCUUCGGUGGGUCGGAAGUGUUCUGGGAGAACCUCUAGCUUUCCAUAAACAUCAUCCAUUAAGCAGAUUCACUUUUACAAAAUCCUGCCUAUACAUAAGUCUUAGUGAGCCCACAAAUUUUUUAUUUGCUUAUAGCUCCAAGCCUCUGGCAAUAACAUGUGACUCGUUUUCAGAUACUUGCCUCAGUAACAAUCAUGACAUAGAAGUUCAAUGUAAAUGAUUUUAGGAUGUAUCCCUUCCCUGUAACCUUCAAUAGAAAUUAUAUAUCAGGGGAUUGCUAUCAGUAUGAUCAGUUUGUCUGAAGAGAAAGCUCCAUAGAAGCUAGAGAGAGAAGCACCACAUAUUAGGUCAAAGUAAUGAUGAUCAAAUGUUAAAGUUCACAUCAUGAAACUCAAGAAGUUGAGGAGAUACACAAACAUGAAAAGACUAAGCAUACUGUACCAAAUUCCCAUCAAUUUAACCAACAGGAAUAUAUCAAACAAAAGAGGUGGUUACACGAAAAAGAUUGAAUACUAAAGAUCUGGUCAAAAGCCUAGGGACCAACUAUGUUGCCAUAGUAAUAUCACAGUCUAAUGGUGAAGUAACAAAGAGACAUCAAGGAUAGGAAUUAUUAAAAGAUGAAUGCCCACAAAAAUAAUAGAACAUUCAAAACCAAUAUCAUAGUCUGGAUUCUUUAAUCAACUAUUGAUGGUAGACUAAUGGGAUUUUUAUCAUCUCAUCUGAUUGAAAGUUCACACCAUCUUUUGCAGUGGGAGUAAAUUUGUCAUAAAUGUCAAAUUCUUGCAUUGCGAGUGUAAACUAAUGUCUUAGGUACACAGCCUGUCACACCCUGAAAUAUUUGAACUUUGUACCAACAAAAUUAUAUCGUGCAUAAACCACCACUUCAAAACUCAUACCUACAUUGGUAAAUUUUUCAUUAAAUCCAAUAUUCUUUGUAUUUACAAUAAACCAUAUCAACUUGAAAAAUACUAAAACUUCUUGAUAGUACUAUUUGAUGACAAAGAAGUUUCCUCCACCUAAGUCUCUCAAUCUAAUAUAUGUCAGGAGGCUGCUUUGAAAAAAAUACAAAACAAAAAUAUAUCAACAAUCAUGCUAAAUAGGCACCUUUGAAAAUCAUAAAAACAAUCGAUGAGUUAGAUAUUCUUUCAACAAUAGAUGAAGAGAUCUUAUAUCGAACUGUCAACAUUGGAUAAAGUGAUAUCUCUCACCUACUCGAGUAGGGACACAUUACUCUCAAUAAUGAAUGAAGGAACCAUCUAACUGUAAAAAAAAAAUCAUCCUACCAAUACUAACUUGCCUCUUGGUAGAGAAUAAUAGCCCUCAUCAUCAUAUAUCACAAUCGUAUAUCUUCGUUUAUUUCAUUCAUGCAUUAAAAAAAACCCUAUAAAAUAUCAUAAUAACUACACUUGACAUAUGACAUGGGAGACUUAGUGCAUUAGUAGUUCUGUACUGUGAUAGGCCGUAGUUUCUUUCGUAGGGGCAUUAUCAACAAAAAUACUCAGUAUAGUCACAUUUGCCUCAUGAUAACAAUGAUCAUAAUGUUAACCUCGAUGCCAAAUAUCAUUUAAAAUUAGAAACAAAUAAUUAUUCUCAAAUUUCAUAAUAUAACUUAAAAUAAGACUUUUAAAUUCAUUAAAUAACAAAAUCAUGAAGUUUUAAUCCCUCUGCAACCCUAAAUUGACCUAAACCCUAACUGAAAUGGUUCAAUUGACUUGAGCUGAAUAGAUUUUCAACUGAAAACCCAAUUGAAACAACAUCAAGUUCACCUAAGAAGGGUCAAUUGAUCACAACACUCAAACUGGCCACAAAGGGGCCCCUGGCCGACUUGCCCAUAGGGCACAGGCUUGAGGCCCCUGUGGGCUGCUAGCCUAGCCCAAUUUGGGCUAAAAAGGGGGUGGGCAUAGAUUCGAGUCCGACACACAUUUUUGGGUCGUGCUCGAGCUAGGCUGCAAGCGCUUGGACCAAGGUUGCGUGCAUCACGUGUUCGCACAACAUAGGAAAGCGACAAGCUGGGCUUCAGUGUCAAGCCACAUGUGGGCCUUAGGUGCUAGGUUGAUCGGCCCAUGCCGAGCCAAUGUAGAUGGGCCACGCAUAGCCUCUUAGGUUGACCCAUGCCAUGUUGACUUGGGUCCACGACACGCUAGCCUUGAGUCAAGCUGAUCCCAAGCUGGCUCCUAUGUUGGUCUACAGGGCUCAAUUUGUUGGGUGGCAUCUGCUUUGGCCGUCAAGCAACUGGGCAUUGGCUCAAUGCUACUCUAUGACCAAGCCUGAGUUUAACUCAAAUUGGUUUGACCUAGUGUUGAUCGGCUUGGCUUGGGUCGAGUUAGCCUAGCCCAAUGUUAGACCCAAUCUUCACCCUCAUUCAAAUUUUAAUUUCAAAUUUAUUUUUUUCAAGCAUAAAUUAAAUAAACAACUAAUUGACAAAUGAAAUAAGAUAAGUUCAUUCAAACAUGAAAUCUAAUGAAAUUAACAGCAAUAAGCAAACUAAUUUAAUCAAAUAAAUCAACAUAUCACAAUAAUUAAAUCAAUUUAAGGAAUCAUGAAUAAUGGCACAAUUUUGCAAAAUUCAUUAAAAAAAUAAUAAGUAUGAUUCAAUAUUUAAACUCAUCAAAAAUCUUCAUGCAUUUUAAUCAUAAAACAUAAAAUUAAAUCGUUAUUCAAAAAUCAUUAAUCACAAUUCAAAACUAUUAAACUAAUGAAAUUAGUGUUGUCACACAUCCAAAAUCUUUUUUCAGAAAUAUUAACAAAAAUAAACCAAAAAAGAUAGAGGACCGACUUCUUCAAGAUGGAAGUUCCUCCCUUUGAUCCCGCACUAUCGAGUUCCACUUGAUCCCGUUGAUAAAUAAAUGAGGGGUUUUCAUUAUAUAGGAGAGGAAGGAGUGUUUCCCUCAAGUAAAGAAAGAUAUCUUUUGAAUUAAUUAAUUAAAUAGAUUCCUAAUUAGCUCAUAGAAUUAAUGAAGCAAUUUUCAAUUUUUAAUUAACUUUCCUUAAUCAUAUUAAACAAGGAAACAAAUCCAUCCAAAUAAAACAAAACUCUAAUUAACCACCAAACUGCACAAAUUAAACAUCAAUUUUUAAUUUGGGAAGGAGUGGAAAAGUCCCAGUGACUACACAGCCAAACUGCACCAACUCUAAGGCUUUCUUACUUUUAAAUGUGUUGACAAUCAACCGACAUUCACUUGCCCAGAUACUCAAGGACAAAAGGUUAGACUUUGUUUUGGGAAUGACCACUGGGUGCAGAUAAAGAAAAUCUUCAUUAACAAACUCGAAAGGUUCACCUAGAGGUUUGAUGGUGGAGAUACAAUCUAGAUGAGAUAUGUACAUUCUAACCGGUAAUUGUCCUUGAAUUGAAUUUUUUUCUCAAAUCUAUUAAUUUAGGAGAUUGCUAUUGACAAUCCUUUUUUGUUAUUGGCAAACGUCUUCAUACAACCACCUAAAAAAUAAUAAAAUAUAAUUUUACUAAAUGCAAUCCCUCAAUUACCAAUCAUACCCUUUUAUGGCAUCUUCUGAGUUCUGAGUUGAUGCAGAUUGACCCAAAAGAUGACAUCUUCUGGGAUAUUGCAGAAACAUUUGAAAUAUCAUCUUUCGGGUCUAUAACCCAACGUCUUAACCCCUAAGAACAUUAAAUUGAUCUAACAAAUGUAAAAACUAUUUGUCACCUCAUCCUCUUUGAUAUUCAGAUCAUCACAUUUGAAAAUCUAUGUUUUCUCUGUCAUAUUGCAUCUACGAAAGAUGCAUAUGGAAUCAAGAGGAGGAUAAGAAGAAUAAGAUUAAUAAUAAUAAUGGGAAGAAAAAGGGGGUGCAUGGAAGGAGUUGGAAGAUUUUGUUGGAAUUAAGCGAUAAAUUGAGGACAUUUAUAAUCAUUGCAGAGGGUAUCUUAGGAAUAUUAAAAGUUCUUAAAAUUUUCUAUAAGUAGUUAAAAAAGGUUUCCAAUAGAAAUCUCCUUAAUUAAGGAAUAUUUAUGAUAUUAAACCAUGAUUUUGGUGUUCUGUUAGUUCAAUUGAGUCCACAAUUAUAUCUGAUCAUCAACGCAUUGGCACUUGUUUCAUCCAUUUCGUUCAAGGUACGCUACCAAAUUACUAAAUUAGUAAGGAUACAUAAAAUUGAAUUCCGAGGACAAAACUACACCGAUAUGUCCUUGAGUGCAAGAAAAAAAAUUGCGCUAUAUUCUACAAUAUGCUACAACUAUAAUACUUAAAAACAUGUAAUAAUAUUUUUUGAAUGAAUAAGCUGUUUGAGCAAUAGUUCCUAUCUUCUUCUUGCCUCUUUUUAUGCACAAUUUUCUUCUUUUCUUUUUUGUUUUCCAUCCCCACGAUUGAGAUCCGUUCUUUACUAUAUUUCGAAUAACUUCCCGGUAUAGGUUUCAGAUAAGGGACUAUUUUUUGCACCUAAAAUUUUCAAAUUCCAUUUUUCCAAGAAACACUAGAGUUUUGUGUUCUCCCAAUUGCUUCGUCCAAAACAUGAAGCUCACAUAGGAAAGCCUUCUCUUCAAAAACUUAACCACCAAGAAAUUUAUGACUGCAAGAGUGCAGAAGAAAAAUAGAAAGAAAAAAAUAAAAGAUAGAAAGCGCGACCCGGCACUUAAAUCGCUGAGAAAGAGAUCGGCAAGAAACAGAAGCAAGAGGAACACAUCGAUGAAUCAGGUAUGCGAUCUAAAUUUAGAACCGGGAACGCAUCAGCCCAGAUUCACGAAGGCGCAAUAGGAACGAGACAAAAAUAGGGGAUCGAUCCAAAUCAUGGUCAUCAUCAACAUCAUCUCGACGGCAGUACGCGAACAAAAAUAUUCAUGGAAAAAGGUUGCAACGAUUACGGAAGAAAGGGUCAGACCUCGCGAGGGUUGGGGUUUUGGUUUCGCUGGCCGGAGUCGCCGUGCGUGAUGUCGGAGCUCGCGGAAUCUACCCGUCGUCGUCUCGGUUGUCCUCCCCACGUUGAAGGUAGACAAUGGCCCCACCGCCCUGCAGUUGCGCCCACUAUUGAGAGGACUUUCCUGGUCAGCGAGCACGGGCCGGAUGGUACUCACGGAAGUUUCCAGCCGUCGAUCCUGACAAGCAAACUCUUAUCAACGGUUAGAUGUGGGAUUGACAGCAUGAUCAAAGGUGAAGAUGAUCACACGGGUCAGCAAAGAGCCGCACCGAGUAUGUGCAUAUUGUUUUUGUUAUGAGCGAUUGCGUUGGCUGCAACGCCAAUGGUGGUUUCCGCAGCGCCCCACCAAUGGUGGUCACUCCAACCAUUCCUACUGUACAAAAGUGGGUAAUCGAAAAAAGGAAAAUAAAAUAACGUGCACGAGGGAGCCCGACGAGCGCGAGCAAAGCAGCGCACCCACCCACGGUUUUAUGCGCCUGGUGGCGAUGCAAGUGACGUGCACGGCUUUUGGCUGGAGCGUGGUGGGAAAGGAUUGAAGAAACCCACAUCAUACUAGUAGAACAAAGUUUGGCGAAAUAUUCGUAUUCCGCGAAGAUCCGUCCAAAAAAAAUCUCUCGUCCUUCCCACAUGUCAACCUCACCUACGAAUAUCAAAAUCCCAACUUGGGCUAUUUAGAAAAGUGCGUUAAACAAUAACAAGUUCUAUGUACUACAUGACUUGUGUUUGUUUAACGCAUACGACUCGUCGAAGCGUACGAUAUUGGACUGUUGGUGCUGUGUACCUGUUUUACGUGGUAUAGGUAUUUGUCGCAAAGGGAAGUAAGUGCGAUACAGGACCGCGCGUUCUAUUUCUCCUGGCGGUGGGCCAUGUGAGGAUGGACCCCGUCUCCUCCAAUAUAUUAAAUUAUUUUUAAUUACUUAUGAUUCAACUGAAAAGAAUCGAUAAUAGAAAAUUCAUGUUUAUUGUUACUGUUGCAUGAAAAAGAAAAGAAGAAAUAAAAAAGAGCAGAAAUACGAGGCUUGAGAAACAGAAAAAAUCAUGUAACAUUAGAACCGUGCAGUCUUCGAUUGAAAAAACUUCCCCGUUAAUGGAAAUUGGAGAUCUGUACAAGAGAUAGGAGGAUGGCAAGGUCAGGAACACUAAGGGAAAAGAAAAGAAGGAAAAAAGAAACUGGAAAGAACACCACGCCGAAGGGGGAUCUUUAAGAGAUUAAUGCGAUCUGGAACUUAUUUCCAUUGUGAUCACUCGGAAUCGCUGUCCAUGCUCUCCAUCCCCUUCAAUCCCCUGCGCUUCUGCAGAAAGCAGCGGGUACAACGAAUUAACAUGUAUCGCAGAGAGUAAAACGCACGGCCCCAAUCGGAAAAAGGGGCAGAUAAAGAAUUAAGGACGAGGGAACGAGAAAUUGGGACCAUAGUCAACAUCAGGGGCCCACGUGAAAGGGAGAAGGCGACCAAAUUAAUUUAAGCCCCCACCCCCGAGGGCCAAGGCAUGGAAUUCAAUUCGUACAUGCACAUUGUAUGAUCGACCUUCUCGGUCAUAAUGAAUUCGACAACCAUCAUGUCGAAUGGAGACAUGACGAAGGAGGGGCAUCGAGGAAAAGGUUCCAGGGGAAGAAAAGCAUAUGACGGAGCUGGCGACAGGUCAAUAUUAGCAGUGAAAGUAAAUAAAUAUAAACGAGUAAUUUAUUUGUCAGGGGAGAUUUGAUGGGGGAAAAGAGAGCGAAAGCACGAUCCGGGGAUUUGCGUUAUACCUUCUUUACGCACUUCUUCUCCCUCACUUCAUACCGUCCUCUCGUCAGAUCCGAAAGCCACAUUCCAGGAAAACAAUACUACACACAAAAAAAAUGCAUAUAUUAUUUUGUAAAACAACAAGUGAUGAAAAGGAUUACGAUGGAUCGAGGGGUUAGUGAUUGUGAACCUGGAGAUUCUUAUCGAUGUUCUUAGCCCUCUUUUUGGGUCUCUGGGGAAGCUUGGUGCCCUUCAUGGCCAAGAAGUCGUCCUCCUUCUCCUUGCGGGAAAGGGAUAAGCAAAUCUUGGGCCACUCGAACUGAUCCAGGUUCAGCCUCUCCCCGAUCGCGACCAGCGGAGGGGCGCUGCCGCUGCCGCCCGUAUCCUGGUCCGAUGCCAGCUUCGACUCCGGGAGGUUCAUGUGGCCGUCCGCUGCG